UUCAUUUAUUCAUCAAAGACUCCGACAUACAGAGACAGGGUUGGUUGGUCCACCGGGGGCGGCGGAGGCCGCUCUGCCCCCGAGGCAAAAGUGGUUUGGUCAACAAAGGGUUGGGGACGGGGGCCCGGGGGUCCACCAUCUCUGGUAAUGAUCCCUCCGCAGGUUCACCUACGGAGA
rnacentral:misc_RNA from 1 species